UACGGAGGUUCCAAGCGUUGUUCGGAAUUACUGGGCGUAAAGAGCUCGUAGGUGGUUUGUCACGUCGUCUGUGAAAUUCCGGGGCUUAACCUAGGGCGUGCAGGCGAUACGGGCAAUACUUGAGUGCUGUAGGGGAGACUGGAAUUCCUGGUGUAGCGGUGAAAUGCGCAGAUAUCAGGAGGAACACCAAUGGCGAAGGCAGGUCUCUGGGCAGUUACUGACGCUGAGGAGCGAAAGCAUGGGUAGCGAACAGGAUUAGAUA
rnacentral:rRNA from 1 species